UUGGUUCUUUUUUUUAUUUAUUUAAUAAUUAUAAAAAUAUAUUUUGCAUUGGAUUCCAAUCCAUAAAAAACAAAAUCUUCCAACGUCUCUCUAAUCCCACUACUCCGCUACUUUCUCCAGCCCACCCACUGUCUGCUCCACUACAACUACCUCUCCUCUCUCUCUACUGUACGAGAAACGACAAAAAAAAUAAAAAGAUAAAAGGGGCUCACCACUGUUCAUUCUCUCCUCUCAGAACGCUACUCUCCCUCGCUCACAUUCACCCUCAGCUCAUACGAUACCCUUCACCUCCCACUCUCACACCCUCUCUGAAAACAAAAAGAAAAAGAAAAAAUGAAACCCUAUUCAUCAUCUCCCAAAUCCAGCCGCCGCCUACCAAACCCUCAUUCUUUCUGAAAACCCUCAUUCACUCUCUCACAGAAAAUACACGAACCCAGCUCCACUCUCUCCUUCACCGCGCCAUCAUCAUCAUCGCUCACCAUUCUCACAAAAACUCUCACAUACCCUCGCCUCUCUCAAACUCCUCCCAUCUUCUUCACUCUCCAAAAG
rnacentral:lncRNA from 1 species